CCCGCCAUGGCGGCCUCCCGCCUCCCCCCGGCGGCCCUGACAUUGAAGCAGUUCCUGAGAAGACAGCAGGUGCUGGGCCUGUACCGGAGCAUCCUGCGAGCCGUCCGCCGCGUCCCCGCCCGCCCCGACCGCGGCCACCUGCGGGACUGGGUCCGACAAGAGUUCAGGAGGAAUAAGAGCGCCACCGACGAGGAUGCCAUUCGCAUGAUGAUCACCCAAGGCAACAUGCAACUCAAGGAGCUGGUGAGAGCCUUGGACUUGGCCAAGUCAUAGCCUCCAUCCCGCAGAGCCUCCUCAGUCCCCCGGAACCUCUGAGCUUGGUGAGCUCCUCCUCCAAGCUGUGAAUGUGCUCCUUCAGGGCGGCCUUCUCCUGCAGUGCUCGCUGGGUGGCCUGGCAGCGGGCCUCCUCCAUCUUCCGCUCGUACCACUUCUCCAUCUGCGUGGAGACGGCCUCGAAGAAGUACUGGGGACCGGAGGAAGCCCGGGGCAGGAAAAAGACAAUCUCAAGAGGAGCUGGACCUUGUGAUCCCCUGGAGGGGACAGUCCGUGAGCAUUCCCAGAAGAGUGAGGGUCGGGGUCCUCAAUUCCGCAACCCCAAGAGGCCCCGGAUGGCGGAAGGAGGUAGACGCCGCGGCCGACUUUCCCGGUUCCAGGCCCACGCCUGGUGCCUGCUAUGCUGACCCUUCCCUAGCGCACACACGGCUUGGGGACGAGGGAAUGCCGUCCAAAAAACUUUGGUCCGGCGUCUCCUCGCUCGCUGCCGUGGCAGGUCAGGAUGGCGCCCUCCACCCCCUACCCGCCCCAGGUUAGACAGAGCGAGCGGGAGACUCACCCGGAGAUGGCGUCGACUGUGGCCCGGAGGCUCUCGACUCUCCGCUGAGCUUCAGCUCCAGAUUCUGAAUCUUUCCCAGGCACCAGUUUUUCAGCUCAUCCACCAAGGACACCUAGAGGGAAAGUUGCCACCAGGCCCCGCAUCAGGCUGCGGCGCUCCGCCCGAUGACCAACCCGCUACGUCCCGGAUGUCUGCCCUGCCCCGGCCCUUGGGAGCCACCGGGAGGAGGGGGACACGGGCGCGUCACCACAAAAGUGGGUGUUCGAGGCAGCCUCUCGCCGUGGGCCCCCCCUUAAAGUAAGAGGCCGUUUAAAGAGGCCCAGGUACCCGACCGGCUGCAAGCUGUUGGGUAAAACCCCGGGGUUUAGACCGCAACCUUCUCCUAAACCAAGCUUUGGCUCGCCUCCUUGGUUCUGUGAAGCUGGAAGGGGCUCAAUAAAUAUCUGAACUGUCGAACCGGG